AGAGGAAAAAAAAAAGAAAGAAAAAAUCGUGCAGGAUUUUUUCGAGAAAAAAAGGGAGAAAGGGAGAAAGAAAAAGAAGGAGAAGAGAGAAAACAGAGAAGGAAACCGUGAGAGAUAAAGAAGGAAAAAACCAGAGAGGAACCAAGAGAUAGAGGGGAGGUGAAAUCGACAGGGAGAUCGGGAGAGAAAGACUUCACUAAGCACAGAAUCAGAGAGAAGAUGGCUCACGGAUUGAACUCAGUCGAAAACAGAUAGCAAAGCCGCAUAGAGAGACGGACGAACUCAGUCGUUACACAAAAAAUCAGAAGGGAGGAGAGACGAAGUUGAGAAGAGAGGAAGGAGGUGAGGCAAGCUGAGGUAUUCAAAGCCGAGACCCUAAGGUGUGGUGGCUUCAUGAUGCACUGCAUGUUUAAUUAUCCAUAGGAGGGAUAUCUCACUUUGCUCACGUCUAUCUACACAAGAAAUUCCCGAAUUUAUAGUUCUCUUCAACACUUAAAAGGAUACAUGAAUAUGAAAUUCAAGUGGAACAAAAGUGAUAUUUCAAAGGUUUCUAUCCGGUAUGAAUAAAGAGUUACAAUGUAAUUCCAAUUCGACAAAGGAUUCUCACUAGUUUGUAACACUGAUUCAUUGAUCAAUGAAUCUAUUAAGAAACCGGUGUCUCACAUCCUUACUUAGGCAAUCACCUGCUUAAUGCCAGGCACGGCACCUAAUGCCAUACAAAGAAAUAAUACCUUUACAGGUGUCCUCUUCCAUUUGAAUCAUUCUUUGGAUCGAAUUAAGUAUGGGAAUUCCAUUGUUUUGCUUGCUGCUGGCUGGUGAUGAUUUAUGAUUGUGUUUGAGUCGAUUUUUGUGCUAAAUUUGUUGUGAGGAUUUCAUGGUUUUAUUUGCUAUGUGAUGGUUAAUUCUUAACAUGCUGGUUAUGUUUGUAUAUGUCAAGUUGCUAGCAUGUUGAUUGAUAAUUUAAUCUAUGAAUUUUCGAUCCAAACUUGUUUGAAAUACCAUGCUAUGUACAGCUCAAAAAUUGUGUUUGUGUGUGCUAAUCUUUUAAUAUGGUUUUGGUUUGAUAAAAUUGUGUUUGUGUUUGUUUGGUUGGAUGAGGACCGCGCUGGACUUUCGUUUGGGACCGGAGAGUUCAUUUGAAGAUUGGACUGGGUUUGAGCCACACACGGGCUCCGUGGGCCACAUUUUGUAUUUUUAAUAUUUGUUACUUGUAUAUAUUUUUAUCUUAUUUUUAUAUAUCUUUGUAAAGGCAAAUAUGUAAUAGGGUAGUGAAAAUAAUGGAAACGUAGUG